rnacentral:sRNA from 1 species
UUCUUUCGUGAUUUGGUUCUGUAUAGUCCAGACUGGCCUUGACCUAAUCCUCCUGCCUCAGCUGUGAUCAUAAGCCUACAGCUGCACCCCUGCCUUAUAGGAAGCCAAGACUUGUGCACACAGCUUUGCACUGGGAUCAGUUGGCACUCUGGAGAAUCCUCAGGGCUGUACCUGAGGCUAGUUUGUGAUGAGAACCAAAUGUUCUGACAGCCUCUGGGAAUGGCAACAGCCUGAUUUAUCAGAAAUGAUUGCUAACUUUGCCCCCCUCUGGGGUGGCUGAAGCCCAGUACACUUGCAUCCCUUUCUUUUCUGUCCCCACUGGCCACUGAAUUUGGUUCAUUUGAUGUUUUUGUUUUUGUUUUUUUCUGCAGGAAUGUGGGCAGAACUCCAGCCAGCCUUUGGGAUGGCUGUGGAUAAUGUAUUCUUUUCAAGUACAGACAUUUUUAUUAUUAUUCAGAUUAAAAAAAAAUGUCAGUCUAUUGAAUCUGGAGGUAGGAAGCCAUGGCUGUGGGGUCAGGUUGUUUCUCCUUUCCCUCCCUGUUUUCUCCCCCACAGUUUGUGGGCAGGUGAGGCUGCUGUGUGUUUUUGACUCUCUGUCUAACCUCAGUAGUAUUGACACUCAUGGCUGAUCUUUCCUGUGGGUCUGUGCACACUUUUGGGGACCUGUCUUAACCUUCAUUUAACCUCCACCCCCUCCCCCGGCAGGUUCUCAUGGAGCCCACACUGAUUUUGAACUUGCUAUGUAGUUGAGGAUGGUCUUGAACUCCUGAUCUUCCUGUCUUCACCUCCUCAGUGUUUCAGUGCUGGUAUUACUGCUUGCACCACACCACCGACUCUGGGCUUCAGGAGUACUAGGCAAGUACUCUAUCAACUCCGUGUUGCCAGCCCUUUCCCGCCAUGCUGAGGUCGUAGGUGUGUGUGUGUGAUGCCACUCUUGGUUUUUGUGGUGCUAGGGAUCAAACGCUGGGUACCUUCCUAUGCUAGACAUCAUAGGAUUUCUGUUUCCAGACAGGGUCUCCAUAUAUAUCCUAGGCUGCUCUUGACUUGUGACAAUUCCUGCUUCAGCCUCCUGGCUGCUGGGAUCCUGGGAGGACCACACAUAGCCGGAGAUGGGAGAUGACCUCUAUGUGUCUUUUCUGCCUGUUCAGACGGAGUUCUUUUCUGCAGAGGAAGAAAAGCAAGAGAAGAUGAGAUGACUCACUGGGUAAAGGGAUCUGCCACCAAACCCAGUCCCUGGGAUUCACAGGUAGAGGGGAGAACUGGCUCAGAGCUGUACUCUGCAGUCAUGCACCCGCCACCCCCAAACAAACAAACAAACAAACAAACAAACAAACAAACAAACAAACAUUUACAAAAAGUAAGAACUGGGCUAGGAAACUGGAGGAAUGAACCAGGGCGGUACCCAUAGGUCAUCUAUUUGAAUGCUUGGUUUCUGGUUGGGGGAAUUGUUUAAGAAGGACUAGGAAGUAUGACCUUAUUGGGGGAAUAUGUCACUGGGGGUGGGUCUUGAGUUUUCAAAAGGCCAGGUGAGACCCAGUGUUUCUCUUUGCUUACAGCUGCAGACCAGAAGUAAACUCUCAGCUCCAUCUCCAGCGCCCACGCCUGCCUGCUGUCACGCUCCCCUCCUCGAUGACCGUGGACUCACUGAAACUGUAAACAAGCUCCCAAUUCAAUGCUUUUAUUUUUAAAAAACUUUUCACUGAUUCGUCCUGAGUUUCACACCAUGUACAUCUCCCUGUCCCCUCCUAUCUGCCUUCUGCCCUUGCAACCCCCCCAAAUAAAGCACCCCCCCCAUGUAUUGUUAA